UACGUAGGGCGCGAGCGUUGUCCGGAAUUAUUGGGCGUAAAGAGCUUGUAGGCGGUUUGUCGCGUCUGCCGUGAAAAUCCGGGGCUCAACCCCGGACUUGCGGUGGGUACGGGCAGACUAGAGUGUGGUAGGGGAGACUGGAAUUCCUGGUGUAGCGGUGAAAUGCGUAGAUAUCGAGAGGAACACCUGCGGCGAAGGCGGGUUGCUGGGCCGACACUGACGCUGAGGCGCGAAAGCUAGGGGAGCGAACGGG
rnacentral:rRNA from 1 species